rnacentral:lncRNA from 1 species
GCUGCUGGAGCUAUUUCAGAACAGCACUUUUCUGACUGCAUCAGGAAAUGCAAGCUCCGGACCACUCUUGUAAUCUUUGCCUUAGGGGUAUCAGCGGUAGCGGAGUCUCUAAUGAAAAAAAAUAACUGAAACAACAACAAGAGAAAUGAGGAAAAUGAAGUUUUUCAGACAACAUGUCUUUUAUCUGUGCCUCCGCUGGGUGAGGAAGAAAGCUGUAUCAUCCUUGAACCCUCUGCCUGAUUGUGUGCGAUUCUGUCACAAUUCGUUUCUUCAUGAAUAGGAAAGGCUGUGUGAACAGCUAACUCGUGUUCCGCUUUGAUGUCGUACUGUUUGGGAAACCUCCUGAAGCUUCAGAGGCACUCUUCGGCAGAGCGGCACAGCCAGCCAGCACGGAGGGGAGGAGCACUUGGAUUUCUGUGAAACAAAUGUAUUUUGUUAUGCCAAGGAAUGGCAUUCAAGCAGAUAAAUAA